UACAGAGGUGGCAAGCGUUUGUUCGGAAUUACUGGGCGUAAAGGGCGCGUAGGCGGCCUACUAAGUCAGACGUGAAAUCCCCCGGCUUAACCUGGGAACUGCGUCUGAUACUGGAAGGCUUGAGGAUGGGAGAGGGAUGUAGAAUUCCAGGUGUAGCGGUGAAAUGCGUAGAUAUCUGGAGGAAUACCGGUGGCGAAGGCGGCAUCCUGGACCAUUACUGACGCUGAGGCGCGAAAGCUAGGGGAGCAAACGGG
rnacentral:rRNA from 1 species